UGGGGAAUAUUGCACAAUGGGCGCAAGCCUGAUGCAGCCAUGCCGCGUGUGUGAAGAAGGCCUUCGGGUUGUAAAGCACUUUCAGCGAGGAGGAAGGUGGUGGACUUAAUACGUUCAUCAAUUGACGUUACUCGCAGAAGAAGCACCGGCUAACUCCGUGCCAGCAGCCGCGGUAAUACGGAGGGUGCAAGCGUUAAUCGGAAUUACUGGGCGUAAAGCGCACGCAGGCGGUUUGUUAAGUCAGAUGUGAAAUCCCCGGGCUCAACCUGGGAACUGCAUUUGAAAACUGGCAAGCUAGAGUCUCGUAGAGGGGGGUAGAAUUCCAGGUGUAGCGGUGAAAUGCGUAGAGAUCUGGAGGAAUACCGGUGGCGAAGGCGGCCCCCUGGACGAAGACUGACGCUCAGGUGCGAAAAGCGUGGGGAGCAAAACAGGAUUAGAUACCCUGGUAGUCCAGCGCUGUAAAACGAUGUCGAUUUUGGAGGUUGUGCCCUUGAGGCGUGGCUUCCGGAGCUAACGCGUUAAAUCGACCGCCUGGGGAGUACGGCCGCAAGGUUAAAACUUAAAUGAAUUGAC
rnacentral:rRNA from 1 species